AGCGUAUGUGCGCUUCAUAGUCCACAGUUUAAAGAGGAUUGUCCAUGUUGUGUGCCCUACGGUGUACACCGCUUCCCCGGCCGUGCUGAGGAUGAAGACAUUCGCAAGAUGUGGAUUAAAAACGUACACCGAAAGGACUUUGCCCCCAAACAAGUAUUCAAGGGUGUGUGGAGUACACUUCCCUGACGGCAGACCAACGCAGGAACACCCAUAUCCCAUAAUAUGGGAUAUGAAUAUAGUAAAGCACCGUCAUGUGGAAGACCACCCCAAAGAGGAGAUGUCUCCAGCCCCCAACAGAGAGACCAUGUGAUGAGCCUCCUGUGACAGAUUCUGACACCGAAGUAGGGCAUAGCUUGGAGGAUAGUCUGUCUCCACACCAAUGUGAUGUUGGCACUCAGUGGCCAGAGCGUAGUGAUCAUGAUUGUUGUUCGAUGAAGUCAACAAAAGAUGCAAGCACACAAACCGAUCCUACACCAUCACUGUCAGAUCAUGACAUGGAUGAUAAAGUGUCAACUUUACACUGGACUAGACAUCAUCAGCUUUUGGCAACUUUUGAACACCAUCAUUGGCUUUCUUCCACAGUCGAAGACGUUCAAAUUACCAGUCCAUGAACAGCUAAGUGCUGGUCCUAAUGAGGCUUCGGCUUGGCUACAGCCUGUGAUAUGUCCGCAAUGUGGAGAGCAACACUUGCCAAUUUCACAAGGGAAAAUCUUAUUUUUUGGCUCCCUCGAGACACUCUGAAUAGAGUAAGACCCUCAAGUUUUCUUGAACACUAUCCCAAUGCAACAUGCAUCAUAGAUUGCACUGAAAUAUUUGUCCAAAGACCGAAGAACUUGGGGAAAAGAGCAAAAACAUACAGCAACUAUAAGCAUCACAACACCUACAAAGUCCUCUAUUGCAUAGCCCCCAAUGGUUUUGUGAUGUAUGUGUCAAAACUGUUUGGUGGCAGAGCUAGUGACACUUUUAUCUUAAACUGUGGAUUUCUGGUGAUCAGAUUUUGACAGACCGGGGAUUCACAAUUGGAGAUGUUCUUCCUCCAGGAGUGACAUUGGCUAUUCCAGCAUUUACACGUGGAUGUACACAACUAUCAGAACAUGAAGUCACAGGAACCCGCCGUCUCGCCAAUGUCCGAAUUCAUGUUGAACGUGCAAUAAGAAGGUUAAAAUGCUUCAAAAUUUUGAGUAAUGUAAUUCCAGGUUGAUUAAAACAUGUUGAUGACAUUUUGACUAUUUGUGCAGGCCUGUGUAACCUUCUUUAAAUCUUACAAACAUGUUUGGCAUACACUACACUUGUCCCUGUCUGUAGGCCUACAUGUCAGCAUCAUCUUCCAACUUGUCAGCGAUACUAUGCCCAAGAUAUUUUGUACUGCUUGACACACAGUGAUUGCCCUGACAGGUAAAACGUUGGAAAGACUUAAGAUCCUGAACAUAACACUUUUUUGCAUUGUACUGUAGGCCUACAUCAAACUCAACCCCAUACUCAGAGCACACAUUCAGAAGUUGCUGAAACUCAACAGCGCCGGGGGACAUGGGCCUAAUAGCCAGAUCAUCAAAUGGUUGAAAACAGUGCAUGUGUUUUAUUGUCUGUGUCUAAAUCUCGUCAUACAUCCAGUGCGUUUUGUUUUUUUUAACAGACGUGUUUUCACAAUGACACUCUGAGAAUUUACUUUUGAACAAAGUGUCUUGUGUAUAAAAUGGUGUGCAGACA